ACUGUAACUUGGAACCAUUCUGGGAUCUAAUAGUGCCCUGGAAUUUUAAGCAUGUGAGGAGGAUAAUUGAGAAACUCCAUUAUGUUUGCCUCCCCCAGUUCCUCAGAGAGCAGUUACAGACACGUCUGGCACCAUCUAAAACCCAGAGCCCUUCACACUUUGGGCAGAGUCCAAGAUUUCUAAACCUCUGUGUCCUGGUCACAGACCAUGAAUGCGGCUUGUGUCUGGGAGCAAAGUAGAAAGCGUGGAAAGAGAAGUGGGGGGGCCUUUGAGUCGGUGACGGGACCCCCCACCCCAGACCUGGAAGGGGCAAAAACAAUGACCGCUCUCUUCACGCCCCCGGAUUUCUGGAAUUCAGGUACAGAAAACGAAGAUGCUCUCUGCGGGUCUAGAACUGGAUUCUUCCGCUUCUUCCGGGUCUCCGCCCCUCCCCUCGGGCCACCCCCAGCUCCUCUGUCCCCUCCCUAAUGCUAACGUCGAAGAGAGGUGUGGAGUCCGCUGGAACCUCUGCCCCGCGCUCCGAAUUCCAGGAGGUGCAUUUGCGGGCGUGCCCGUUCCUAGAAUCCACUGCCUGCUGGCGUGGGCUGGAGGUUGGAGGCUUCGUUCAUUAAAAGUCCGGGCUCGUGUAACGAAUCCGUCGCUCUAAGGAGCCCGAGCCCGAGCUGCAUGAUAAAAUCCCCCGGCUGCUGCGAGACGGAGGUUUUGCCGUGGUCUCUGGGACACGAGACAGCUGUCUUGUCCGCUUCAUCCCCACACACAGCCCCAUCCGCUGCCGAUAGGACUCUGCAGAGCCCAUUUCAACAUCAGAUUGGAAGGGAAUGGAAAGUUGUAAGCAGAAAUGAAGAGAAACUCCACUGGAAUUAAUUUCGUUUUCUCGGCAGCUUGCUUUGCGGAGGCUAAAUUUAUUCAGCUGAGAGUGUUGAGGCAGUGGGUGGGGGUGGGGUGAUGUUUACCAGCCCUCCUUGGUCACAGCCCUCAGACUCAGCUCCAGGGGAAAUCAAACGGCCAGCCAUUGUGUAAUGAGAAGUGAACUGCACGGGGAAAACAGACAGGGCUGGUGCACACCCGCAUCACUCUGCUAAUUUACUUCUCGGCUUUGUGUUGCCUGCUGUCCUGGUGCACCCCGAGCCGCAAACUCACUGCAAUCCAAUAGCUUGCAUGUUCUUCUCUUACACAUGGUAGGCUCCUUCAGAGCCAGAAUCACGGCUUGCUUCUGUGUAUCCUGGGCCCCAGUGUAGAACAGUGAUGGAGAGCAUGAACAAACACCCAGGCAGAAUUCCCAGGGACAAGGGAGUAAAACAUCAGAGAAAGUGUUUUCGAAAAUUAGAAAAAUCAUGCACGUGAGAAGUCCUUGUCCAUUGCCGAACAUUUCAAAUAGUGAAGGAAAUCAGAAUUUUCAGAGGACCGUGUGCAUGGUCGAAAAUCCCUUUUUUCUGCUUUUAUUUGUGCGAGGCUGAGUUUUGGGUCACCUUGCCCCGGCUUCAGUGCCCACUUGUUGGGUCAAAUGCCAGUGGAGGUGUGGCUGUAAAGGCGUUUUGAAGACACGUGGGAUUAAUACUUAAGCGAGUAGACUGAGUAGAGCACAUUGUCUUCUACCGGGCUGGGCCUCAUCCGAACAGCGUGGAAGCCUUACGAGCAACACCUGACGCCCUGUGCGGAAGCAGGGGCUGUGCCUCUGGCUGCCUCUGGACAUGAGCGGCACCAUCAGCUCUUCCCUGGGAGGCUCUCCACCCCGCAGACUUCAAGCUUACCCCAACCGCUACUGGCCUGCUUGCUGGUUCUUAAACACCAAGCAUGUUCCUGCUACAGAGUCUGCACUUGGCUGUUCCCCACGCAGGAAUUCUUUGCCUCCAGAGCACUCCGUUGCCCAUUCCUUCUGCUGAGUAAGUCACAGCCGCCGUGUCGCUUCUUCAGAGAGGUCAUCUCUGCCAGCAUGGUGCCCGCUGUUCUUCAUGUGCUUACCUGGCAUUAUUUCACGUUCACAGCAUCUACAAGGUCAAUCUCGGGGACAGUAGGGCCAUUGCACCUGUCUUUCCUGAUGACGCCUCCUGUCUCUGCACCCUCCUUUCCCCAUUCCAAGUGGACUUUUCUUGCAGUGAGAUGGGAGGUAAGAAAUCCUACCUGCUGUGGUUGCUAUCUUGUUCAUGGCAUGCAUUUUGAAGCUUAGGUCUUCAAGGCAAGAAGUGAGUGUGUUAGUAUGCGCUAGCAGGUUUGAGGCACAGGGUAAGAGGCGGUGAUAGGGAGAAGGCUCCCUCCCAUGCUCCUUCCAGUCACGACAGCUGGGUUACUACCUUCUCCAAAGGAAACACAGCCUUAAAGUGCAAGUGCUGUUUUAGUUGGCUGGCGAGUGGCCUUGAAAAUAAUACUGUGAUUGUCACCUGCCUCCUUCCCUGUCUCUGUUAACCUUUUGUCCAAUGGGAAACACACAGGAGUCCCCCAGCCUCACUUCCAGUUUGUGUUUACAGAGAAAUCUGUGUGCACACUUGCGUCAAGCUCAGUGCACAAACAAGAGGAUGUGAGAAAGCCUGCCCCUGCCUAGAAAUGUGGUUUUAUACAGAGUCCCCAGGAGACUAACCUGGGAGGAAAUUCUACCUCAGGUGCACUUGGGCAAUAGGGCACCUCCAGGUGUUCAGGCCUUGAGGCUGUCAGCCCUCUAGGACUGACCACAGUGCUGAGGGGGCUGGGUGAACUGUGGCCGUCAGUUUCAUAUCCUACAGAGUGCUGUCCAUUGUCUGCAGGGGUGUGGCACCUUGGGCCUGGCCCCGCUCUUUACCUUCCUUUGACUCUGAGACCAUGGAAAUCUUUUUGGUACUGUGGCUUAGAAUACCAGGGACUAAGACUGCUUCCCCUGGGACCUGGCCCUGAGCCCUUGUCCCUGGGGCUCCAUCCCUUCCUCACUCAGUUCAGCCAGGGCCCUGCUCUACCCGCCCCAUAGCCUUCUCUUCUCCUGGAGCCAGGGGCUAUCUCUCCUCGCCUUAUUCUUCUCAGUCUUUCUGAGAAUGAGCCCCUACAGUUACCCUACCCUUGUCUCUCUGCAAGCUUCUGUGUAGGUCUGCAUUCCACAUUUGGGCAAAGCUGCCUCCGAGACAGUGGGGCAGCCAGGAUGCCAUGAGCUGGGAUGGGGGUUGCAGAGGAGAUAAGAAAAAACAGACAGAUGGAGAGAAUACGAGUUAGACACUUAAUACAAGGGAGUAUUUCGUACAAGUCUUGUCCCUGUGCCACGCUUCCUCAAGGCUAGAAUUCCCAUCACACCGGGAGUGUCUUCUCGCACUGGGAUGUAAAGGUGAGUUUCCCAGAGCUAGGGCCUGCCGGCCUGACGUCACAGGUGGCUGUUCUGCAUGUCAGUCUCAAUAUGAGUCAGGUUCCAGACUCAUCCUGGUGGGGAGGAAGGGAGUCUUAUUUCAAAGACACCUACUCCUGAGGUGGCUGAGUUCAUCUGCGAAUCCAUGUCCUCCUGAGCUUUCUCUUUGGUUGGACGCACAGGUGUGCAAUAGUCAAAUAACUGGACGUGAGUAACUUGCCUAAGCACACAGUCAAUGGGGUUUAAAUGCUCCUUUUACAUGAUCCUUUCAGCUUGUAGCCUCGCUGCUAUCCUUGAUUCAGGAUGGAACUUUUCUAUGAGUAGGCAAGUUACAGCAUUAUCUAUUUCUGCAAUCUAAAGGGCUCAAAAAUCUCACCCCAAAGAACCAGAACUCUUCUCUAUCUACCUAACACUCCUAUCAGAAAUUCUACUAGUUCACUGUUUGUUUAUUUCCAACUGGCAAUGUCUCUGGGAUAGUGAAUGUAUCUGUUUAAAAAGGCAAGUAUCAUCCUUGGGCAAGGGAAUGCUUUUACGUGACAUGAUUUUAUCUGGUUGCAUCUAAUUGGAAAGGAGCAACUAAUGUCCUGACUCUGCUAAUGUUCUGAGGAAUGUGCAGAAUAAUGACUGGGAAACUGGGGUGUAAAUGUUAUACCCGCAGUCUUGUGCUUGCAGCUAUCUAAUGAGGCCCGAUAUCGCUUUUUAAAGGAGCCAUAAUUGCAGUCAAAGACAAAAUCAACUAUUGGGAUUGCAUCAAAUUGAGAAGUUUCUGUACUGCAAAAGAAAGUCAGGAGAGUGAAGAGACAACCGACAGAAUGGGAAAAUAUAUUUGCAAACUAUGCAACAGAUAAAGGGUUAAUAACCAGAAUCUACAAAGAGAUCAAGAAACUCCACAACAACAAAACAAACAACCCACUUAAGAGAUGGGCCAAGGACCUCAAUAGACAUUUUUCAAAAGAGGAAAUCCAAAUGGCCAACAGGCACAUGAAAAAAUGUUCAAGGUCACUAGCAAUCAGGGAAAUGCAAAUCAAAACCACAAUGAGGUUUCACCUCACCCCGGUUAGAAUGGCUCACAUACAGAAAUCUAACAACAACAGAUGCUGGCGAGGACGUGGGGAAAAAGGGACACUAACCCACUGUUGGUGGGAAUGCAAACUGGUCAAGCCACUAUGGAAGUCAGUCUGGAGAUUCCUCAGAAACCUGAAUAUAACCCUACCGUUCGACCCAGCCAUCCCACUCCUUGGAAUUUACCCAAAGGAAAUGAAAUUGGCAAACAAAAAAGCGGUCUGCACCCUAAUGUUUAUUGCAGCACAAUUCACAAUAGCCAAGACCUGGAACCAACCUAAAUGCCCAUCAACGGUAGACUGGAUAAAGAAAUUAUGGGAUAUGUACUCUUUAGAAUACUAUACCGCAGUAAGAAACAACGAAAUCCAGUCAUUUGCAACAAAAUGGAGGAAUCUGGAACACAUCAUGCUGAGUGAAAUAAGCCAGUCCCAAAGGGACAAAUACCAUAUGUUCUCCCUGAUUGGUGACAACUGACUGAACACCAAAAAGGAAACCUGUUAAAAUGAAAAGGACACUAUGCGAAAUGGUGACUUGAUCAGCAUAGCCCUGAGUGUUAAUGAACAACUUAAUACAUUAUCCCUCUUAGUAGUUUUUUUUUGUUUGUUCUACUUAAUGUGACUGGUUUAAUUCUGUAAUUAAUACACAGUUAUUCUUAAGUGUUGAAAUUUAACUGAAAUGUGAUCCCUGUUAAACAUAAGAGUGGGGAUAAGAGAGGGAAGAGAUGUACAAUUUGCGACAUGCUCAGGCUGACUUGCCCCAAAUGGUAGAGUUAGAAACAUACCAGGGGACUCCAAUUUAAUCCCAUCAAGGUGGCAUGUACCAAUGCCAUCUCACUAGUCCAAGUGAUCAAUUUCAGUUCACAAUUGAUCAUAGUGAAAGGACUAAGAGUCAAAGGGAUCACAUAAACAAGACCAGUGUCUGCUAAUACUAACUGAUAGAAUAAAUAAAGGGGAGAGUGAUCCAACAUGGGAAGUGAGAUACUCAGCAGACUCAUAGAAUGGCGGAUGUCCUAAACAGCACUCUGGCCUCAGAAUCAGCCCUAAAGGCAUUCCGUUCUGGCUGAAAAGCCCAUGAGAGUAUUUCAGGCAUGGAAAGCCAAGACACUCUGGGAAAAAAAACAAAAAAACAAAAACAACACCUAAAUGAAAGAUCUCUGUGAGUGAGAUCCCAGUGGAAAGAACAGGUCUUCAAAGAAGGAGGUACCUUUCUCUGAAGGGAGGAGAGAACCUCCACUUUGACUAUGACCUUGUCUAAGCAAGAUAAGAGUUGGAGAACUCAAGGGGCUUCCAUAGCCUUGGAAACUCAUGACUAGUGCAUAGGGAGAUUACUGAUGCCAUAAACAGGAGUGUCAAUUUGUAAAGUCAACAACAGGAGUCACUGUUCACUUACUCCUCAUGUAGGAUCUCUGUCCUUAAUGUGCUGUACAUUGAGGCUUAAUGCUAUAACGAGUACUCAAACAGUAUAUUUCACUUUGUGUUUCUAUGGGGGUGCAAACUGUUGAAAUCUUUACUUAAUGUAUACUAAACUGAUCUUCUGUUAAAAAAAAGAAGAAGAAAUUAGCAAUUCCCAACUUGACUCUCGCUGGGAUUAAACAUAACAGUAGGUCUGAUCUGAUUUCAUCAUCAUUUAAAAAAUCAUCUAUUAUUUUUCACUUUAUGUUUCUGUGUGGGAGCAAACUGUUGAAAUCUUUACUUAAUGUAUGCUAAACUGAUCUUCUGUAGAUAAAGAGAAUUGAAAAUGAAUCCUCAUGUGAAUGGAAGGGGAGAGGGAAUGGGAAAGGGGAGGGUUGCGGGUGG